CUGGCGGAGAAAGCACAUGGUCCUCCUGCAUUUUACUGUAUUAUGAUCUUACCACAGAAGAAGCACGACAAAUGCAGCAAAGCAGCAAUUGUAUCUAAACUUUAAAGACCCUCUCCCAGACAUUGACUCUGGAUUUCUAAUUUCCUAAUCUUCUUCAUUAUGAAAAAUAUAGGAGACAAAAACAAGUCCAGUUGUCCUCCAGAAAAAGGAUGUUCAUAGCUGGUAGAACUUUCCUGAGAAGUGAGAAGAGGAGAGCUGGAACAUUAAACCCCCAAGCAAUCAAAGCAGACCUAUCUGUUCUGUGCCAAAGGCAGUGAGAGAAAAUCAGCUAAGUAACAAGAACAACUUUCAAAAAAAUAGUUUGGUCCUUCCGAGUGUGUUUUUUUUUUCCAUUUUGGACUAAAAUGUACAGUGCUCUCUAUUAUACAUUCUAUUAAAUAGAAAAUACCAGUUGCUUGCUGUGACUUGCAGAUUAUGGAUGUUGCUGUUGCUAUUGUUUUUCAAAUGGCGAGGUUGUAAGAUAUAAGGAUAUGUGUGUACAUAUGCUUCUCCAUAUCUCCAGACAAUUUUGCAAGAUAUCAUAUCUUCAAAUGAGAGACUGAUGAGUAUACAAUACUGUGAGGGAUCACAAAGCUGGGAUGUUUUUAGCUUUCUUUAAACUCCUAAAAUAAUGGAAUAUAAAUACUGUCAUUUUAUAGCAUUGACUACAUGGUAAAACUCCUUUUGAUUCCUAUAAUUUGUUUCUUGGAAUUAUUUUAAUCAAAGAGAAAUGUUCUAUAGUGACACAAAAACAGACCUUUGGAAAUACAUGUUUAAGCAGCUUCAGUGUUGAUGCUUUUUCCAUGUUUCAGUCCUGCUAGCCUGAUGUUGGCUUUUGAGAUUCGUUCAGACUAACUGAUAAUAACACUACAUUAAGAGAGUUUGGGGCCACUGUGUGCCUUCUAAGACAGCAGGCAUGCGACUUUUGGGGGGAUUCCUUGCUGUUCAGUUUACUGAUUAGACUACUUAGUCUCCACUUCAUGAUCCCUCAUUCUUCUUUUAAGAAAGCAGGACCAGCAAAUUGCUUUCUCAUAGAGUCUGGAUAGGUAGAGAAGGCAGACAGUACUGCACUGAGCAGAUGGGAAAGUACAAUUGCAUCAGGGAAUUAAUUCAGGCCAUUAGGUUUUCUGAGAAGUACUAAACACAAAGGUUUCAAGUUUAUCAUAUUUAAAAUUUUUUGCCUAUUCAUGUGAGCUAACAUGCUAUCAGUUGAUUCAAGAAAUGGAGACAAGGACUACAUUCAGGUGAAAUAGCUGAAGAAGUUUGUACAAAGUGCAACUGAUGUUGAUAUGUGAACUAUGGAGUCUGUGUUUCACUGAAUUUUGUUCAGUUCAAUACUCUAUGAAAAUGACAGUAGGAUAUGUAUUGAACUUACACAUAUGGAUGUGACAGUCAUGUGUGAACAUUCUGGACAUAGAAAGCUACUUAAUCGUCUUACUCAGUACUGUUUGAUGUUGUUCUCAGAAGUAUUUAAAUAUGAGCAUAUACUAUUAAGAAAGCAAUAGAAUCUAAUUUUAAGCACAUUUUAUUUUAAGUUCAUGAAUAUGCAUCCAGGUAUCUUCUGCCUCUGGACAAAACAUCUGUGCUUUUCAAUGCUUGCACAGCAUGAACAUAUUCCUAGGAACUCAUUUCAAGAAUCUAUUAUUCAUAACAACAUAUGAGGAAUCCAAGAUCACCUACAUGGAUGUACUGUUAUAAGUAACAUUUAAUUUCAUGUAUACAAAACUGGAUGUGACUGAAUAGUAAUUAUGCUUUUGCAAUACAUUAUUAUGAGAUUAAUAAAGUUGCAAAUGUUCUGUAUUUUGCAGAACCAGAACACUGGUGGAUGAGAGAGAUUAAAAAUACAGAAAAUCAUUUUUUUUCUUGCUUCUUUUCACACGGCUUCACUGUAUAGGUACAAUCAAAAUUUCUGAGGAUG